UACGUAGGGUGCGAGCGUUAAUCGGAAUUACUGGGCGUAAAGCGUGCGCAGGCGGUUUUGUAAGCCGGAUGUGAAAUCCCCGGGCUUAACCUGGGAAUGGCAUUCGGGACUGCAAGGCUGGAGUGCGGCAGAGGAGACUGGAAUUCCUGGUGUAGCAGUGAAAUGCGUAGAUAUCGGGAGGAACACCAGUGGCGAAGGCGACUUCCUGGCCUGUUCUUGACGCUGAGGCGCGAAAGCGUGGGGAGCAAACAGG
rnacentral:rRNA from 1 species